UGUGGCCUGCGGCAGGUCGGCGGCGGCGGUUUGCAGCGUCGCGGGCGCGUCGAGGACGAGAUAGGGCGUGCGUUCGAGCGCGCGGGCCGCGGC
rnacentral:tRNA from 1 species